rnacentral:rRNA from 1 species
GGUGAGUAACACGUGGAUAACCUACCUAUAAGACUGGGAUAACUUCGUGAAACCGGAGCUAAUACCGGAUAAUAUUUUGAACCGCAUGGUUCAAAAGUGAAAGACGGUCUUGCUGUCACUUAUAGAUGGAUCCGCGCUGCAUUAGCUAGUUGGUAAGGUAACGGCUUACCAAGGCAACGAUGCGUAGCCGACCUGAGAGGGUGAUCGGCCACACUGGAACUGAGACACGGUCCAG